AUAUUAGGGCAUUGUCGUUCCCUGACGUGAUCAACUAGGCGGUGCCCCCAGGGAGAGGCGUGGGCAUUGCACUGCGCUCAUGCUGACCCCUGCCACUACCCCAAACUGGGGCAGAUGGGGCAUGCAAUUUUUGGCCAGAGGGAGCUGCACGAGCGCUCGUGCAGCUG
rnacentral:snRNA from 1 species